rnacentral:rRNA from 1 species
CUUCCCUACGGGACGCAGCAGUGAGGAAUAUUGGUCAAUGGGCGGUAGCCUGAACCAGCCAAGUAGCGUGAAGGAUGAAGGUUCUAUGGAUUGUAAACUUCUUUUAUAAAGGAAUAAAGUGAGGCACGUGUGCCUUUUUGUAUGUACUUUAUGAAUAAGGAUCGGCUAACUCCGUGCCAGCAGCCGCGGUAAUACGGAGGAUCCGAGCGUUAUCCGGAUUUACUGGGUUUAAAGGGAGCGUAGAGGGGUUGUUAA